AGACCAUCUGUAUAGUUUUCAGUUCCAGAAGAUUCCAGUAACUCACCAAGUUUUAAUACUUUUUUUUUUUCUUCUUGUUACUCUGAUGGGCUGCCCUGAGAUAAGUGAUAAAAGCAAAAGCCUGACAUAAUUUCUUCGGAGCUAAAACUGCACAGAAGUUGCCAAUUCCUGUAUUUGUUUUCUUACGAGAAACUUGAAGCAGGCAUUUUCCACUCUUAACAAUUUUAAGAUUCUAUCAAGUCUUUAUUUUUUGGGUCAGAAAAAUAUUUUGGUGAAAACGAUUGCUAACAUAAUCUUAGAAAAUAUUUGAACAGGCAAUUCUGAAGUUUUUCCAGAGACUUGGUGUUAUAGAGACCAGUAGAGUGAAAUGAUCCCAUCAUCAAAAUACAUGCAAAGAAAGGAAGAGUGAAGGAAUCCAUAACACCAUGAGAGCUGCAUGGUCAACUCAUGUCACUUCUGUCAACCUGCUGAAUGCCAUGUAACACUGCCAGUGCUUGGAAGCACUGACUGCUGGCUUCUGCAAGACUGGAAGGAAAGGAAGACCUGGACACAUUGACUGCAUCUAAACUGUUAAACAAAAAUAGAGAAUUUUCCUGGAGGCCAGCUGGCAUGAAAGAGCUUGAAUCCAUGCAGAUAAACUCUCUUGCCCUCCAAGUCAUGGUGGCCACUUCCAAAAUAUCUUUUGGAGAUGGUGCCUGACUUGGGUCAAUACCCAAGCUGUGCUUUGGCAUUGUCUGGAAGAGCAUUAGCAGGCUUGCACCAAAACCAUGCCAGGGACCAAUUUAGUGGUAUGGAUGGAUUCGGGCCCAUGCCUUGCUGGUCUUGUUUAGUUUAUUUAAUGUCAGAGGGAAACCUCAGCAAUUCUGCCAGGAGUCAACAGGAAACCCCUUCUGGCCUCAGCAACCAGAAGCUGCUGAGAAGUAUAAAUAUUAGGUUGUUCACCUCCUUCACAUUUGGAUUCUUUUCCUCAUGUUAUUUUUUACCAAAUGAGCACUGAAAUUUUUUGAAAUCUCAUAGAGUAAUAAAAUUGGGUUGUUGCCUGCACAAAACUUGUUGGUUUUGAACUACCAAGAGAUUUCUCACACAAGUUGAGCUUCUGU